UUAGGUGGGGAGGGUGAAAAUUAGGUGUCAACAAUAAUAGUUGCGGAAUUAAAAUGAAUAUCUGAAACAAACCCCUAGAAUAUGAGUCAUUAUACCAAAACCACUACAAAUUAAAUGUCAAUAAAAGGGUUCAAACCUAAAACAACUGAAAAUAUAUGAAGUUUGAAACAAUGGACCAGAAACAAAGGAGAUGACUCAUGGUUGCCCGGA
rnacentral:lncRNA from 1 species